rnacentral:misc_RNA from 1 species
UCCCGGUUCACCCGGGCAGUCUCAUUAGAGUUCCCACCUUUACGUGCUGGCAACUAACGAUAAGGGUUGCGCUCGUUGCGGGACUUAACCCAACACCUCACGGCACGAGCUGACGACAGCCAUGCAGCACCUGUGCAGAGGUCCUUGCGGACUAUCCAAUUUCUUGCAUAUUCCUCUGCAUGUCAAGCCUAGGUAAGGUUCUUCGCGUUGCAUCGAAUUAAACCACAUGCUCCACUGCUUGUGCGGGUCCCCGUCAAUUCUUUUGAGUUUCACUCUUGCGAGCGUACUCCCCAGGCGGUAUACUUAACGCGUUGGCUACGGCACAGCCAGGGUUGAGUCCGGCUACACCUAGUAUACAUCGUUUAGGGCAAGGACUAC